rnacentral:rRNA from 1 species
GAUGAACGCUGGCGGCGUGCCUAAUACAUGCAAGUCGAGCGAACAGACGAGGAGCUUGCUCCUCUGACGUUAGCGGCGGACGGGUGAGUAACACGUGGAUAACCUACCUAUAAGACUGGGAUAACUUCGGGAAACCGGAGCUAAUACCGGAUAAUAUAUUGAACCGCAUGGUUCAAUAGUGAAAGACGGUUUUGCUGUCACUUAUAGAUGGAUCCGCGCCGCAUUAGCUAGUUGGUAAGGUAACGGCUUACCAAGGCAACGAUGCGUAGCCGACCUGAGAGGGGGAUCGGCCACACUGGAACCGAGACACGGGCCAGACUCCUACGGGAGGGCGCAGUAGGGAAUCUUCCGCAAAGGGCGAAAGCCUGACGGAGCAACGCCGCGUGAGUGAUGAAGGUCUUCGGAUCGUAAAACUCUGUUAUUAGGGAAGAACAAAUGUGUAAGUAACUAUGCACGUCUUGACGGUACCUAAUCAGAAAGCCACGGCUAACUACGUG